CUGAAAUGUUUUGUCUUGUAACUUCUAUUAAUAGCUGGGUAUUUUGGAGGACAGUACUGAUUCAUUACUUCCAAUAUAAAUGUUACCCCGUUUUCAUUUUUGUUUCUUUUGCUUUGUUUCGUUUUGAGACAGGGUCUCUCUGUCUCCCUGGCUGUCCUGGAAUUCUAUGUAGACCAGGCUGGCAUCGAAUUCACAGAGAUCCUCCAGUUUUUGCCUCAAGUCUAAGUGCUGGGAUUAAAGACUGUGCCACUCUAACUCCUCCCACCCCCAGUUCUUUAAGGACAGCCUCCGUAUCCCAGCCCCAAUCCUCUCAUUUCUCUAUGGGCUAAACCUUCCUGAUCCUUUGAUUAUUUCUUUUUUUGACAUGUCAAUGAGCCUCCUUGUUACCCUGGUCGGUAUUUUCUGGACAAGAACUUGUUCGUGUUAAAAUGUGGCUCCCAGAAAUAGAUACGGAUUUAUGUUAUGCAAAGAAAACAGGGCAGCAAUCUCCCUCGAUUUACACAUGACAGUUCUCUACUACGAAUUUAUUACUUGGACAUUUUGUAGCACAGUACGAAUUUGUUAUUUCUAAUGUUAACAUUAUUCCAUUAGCUCUGGCUGUCCCCGAAAUCACUAUGUAGACCAGGCUGGCCUGGAACUCACAGAUCCCAUGGCUUAUGUCUCCAGAGGGCUGGGAAUAAAGGCAUGCACCACUGUGCCCAGCUCCUUCUUAGAACCUUUUCCCCACUGGGAGAUUCAGAGUUUUCUGAAGGCCCUAAGGGAAUCUUCCACUUUGUACAGUCUCACUGACAAUGAGCUUGAAGUCAACAAUGGUUCCUCAAACGAGAGGGAAGCACACUUUUAGGACUUCAAUGAAUAAAGUAAACCAUGGCCUGGCAAGGUAGUACAUCCCAGUCUUCCAGAAGCAGAAACAGGAUCUCUGUGAAUUCCAGGCCAGCCUGAUCUAUACAUCAAGAGAGACCAUCCUGUCUCAAGACAAAACAAAAAUGUAAACCAUAAAUACACCAAUCAAAUAAAAUUAACAAAAAAUAAACUAG
rnacentral:lncRNA from 1 species